UACGGAGGGUGCAAGCGUUAUCCGGAUUUACUGGGUUUAAAGGGUGCGUAGGUGGGCAGGUAAGUCAGCGGUGAAAUCUCCAAGCUUAACUUGGAAACUGCCAUUGAUACUAUCUGUCUUGAAUUAUCUGGAGGUGAGCGGAAUAUGUCAUGUAGCGGUGAAAUGCUUAGAUAUGACAUAGAACACCAAUUGCGAAGGCAGCUCACUACGGAUUGAUUGACACUGAGGCACGAAAGCGUGGGGAGCAAACAGG
rnacentral:rRNA from 1 species